GAGCUCUGACAGCACAUGUACUAAAAGUGGAAUGAUACAGAGAAGAUUAGCAUGGUCUCUGCUCAAAGAUAACAAGAAAAUUCAGAGCUGAGAAGGGUUUCC